CCUACGGGUGGCAGCAGUGGGGAAUAUUGGGCAAUGGGCGCAAGCCUGAACCAGCAACGCCGCGUGAAGGAAGAAGGCUUUCGGGUUGUAAACUUCUUUUCUGAGGGACGAAGAAAGUGACGGUACCUCAGGAAUAAGCCACGGCUAACUACGUGCCAGCAGCCGCGGUAAUACGUAGGUGGCAAGCGUUAUCCGGAUUUAUUGGGUGUAAAGGGCGUGUAGGCGGGAAAGCAAGUCAGAUGUGAAAACUCAGGGCUCAACUCUGAGCCUGCAUUUGAAACUGUUUUUCUUGAGUGCUGGAGAGGCAAUCGGAAUUCAGUGUGUAGCGGUGAAAUGCGUAGAUAUACGGAGGAACACCAGUGGCGAAGGCGGAUUGCUGGACAGUAACUGACGCUGAGGCGCGAAAGCGUGGGGAGCAAACAGGAUUAGAUACCCCAGUAGUC
rnacentral:rRNA from 1 species